rnacentral:rRNA from 1 species
CAACCCUUGUCAUUAGUUGCUACGCAAGAGCACUCUAAUGAGACUGCCGGUGACAAACCGGAGGAAGGUGGGGAUGACGUCAGGUCCUCAUGGCCCUUAUGGGUAGGGCUACACACGUCAUACAAUGGCCGGUACAGAGGGCUGCCAACCCGCGAGGGGGAGCCAAUCCCAGAAAACCGGUCGUAGUCCGGAUCGUAGUCUGCAACUCGACUGCGUGAAGUCGGAAUCGCUAGUAAUCGCGGAUCAGCUUGCCGCGGUGAAUACGUUCCCGGGUCUUGUACACACCGCCCGUCACACCAUGGGAG